rnacentral:rRNA from 1 species
AACGAACGCUGGCGGCAGGCUUAACACAUGCAAGUCGAACGGGGGAAGAAAUACAGCAGUGGCAGACGGGGGAGGAACACGUGGGAACCUUCCUAGGGGUACGGAACAACUCAGGGAAACGUGAGCUAAUACCGUAUACGUCCGUGAGGAGAAAGAUUUAUCGCCCCUAGACGGGCCCGCGGAGGAUUAGGUAGUUGGUGAGGUAACGGCUCACCAAGCCUACGAUCCUUAGCCGAUCUGAGAGGAUGAUCAGCCACACUGGGACUGAGACACGGCCCAGACUCCUACGGGAGGCAGCAGUGGGGAAUGUUGGACAAUGGGCGCAAGCCUGAUCCAGCCAUGCCGCGUGAGUGAAGAAGGCCUUCGGGUUGUAAAGCUCUUUUACCAGGGACGAUAAUGACGGUACCUGGAGAAUAAGCCCCGGCAAACUUCGUGCCAGCAGCCGCCGUAA